rnacentral:rRNA from 1 species
GACGAACGCUGGCGGCGUGCUUAACACAUGCAAGUCGAACGGAAAGGCCCUGCUUUUGUGGUGUUCUCGAGUGGCUAACGGGUGAGUAACACGUGAGUAACCUGCCCUUGACUUUGGGAUAACUUCUGGUAACUGCGGCUAAUACCGCCUAGUAGCUCCUGCUGCCUGUUGGGGGUUGGCUAGUUUCGGCGGUUGGGGAUGUACUCGCGGCUUAUCAUCUUUCUGGUGGGGUAGUGGCUUACCCAGGCUUUGACGGGUAGCCGACCUGUGAGGGUGACCGGCGACAUUGGAACUGAGAGACGGCCCAGACGCGUACGGUAGGCAGCAGGGGGGAAUAUGGCACAAUGGGCGGAAGCGUGAUGCAGCAACGCUGCGUGCGGGAAGACGGCCUUCGGGUGGUAAACCGAUUUCGCCUGAGACGAAGCGUGAGUGACGGUAAUGGGUAAAGAAGCACCGGCUAACUACGUG